rnacentral:rRNA from 1 species
UACGGAGGGUGCGAGCGUUGUCCGGCAUCAUUGGGCGUAAAGGGCGCGUAGGUGGCCUGCUAAGCGUGCGGUGAAAGUCGGGGGCUCAACCCCCGAUCGGCCGUGCGAACUGGGAGGCUUGAGCACUGUAGAGGCAGGCGGAAUUCCGGGUGUAGCGGUGGAAUGCGUAGAGAUCCGGAAGAACACCGGUGGCGAAGGCGGCCUGCUGGGCAGUUUUGCUGACACUGAGGCGCGACAGCGUGGGGAGCAAACAGG